rnacentral:rRNA from 1 species
UACGAAGAGUGUGAAAGAAUAUGAUUGGGAUAAAGUUAAACAUUUCAAGUUAAGAAUAAAGUUAUUAUUAAGUGAAAUUUUAAUAAAUUAGUCAAUAGAAGAUAUUAAUGAAGCUUUGAAAUUUAGGUUGUAAACUAGGAUUAGAUACCCUAUUAUUCUAAGUGUUGAUGAAUACCCCGAGUAGUAAUAGUUAUGUACUUGAAACUCAAAGAAUUUGGCGGUGUUUUAGUCUUUUCAGAGGAACCUGUCCCAUAAUCGAUAAUCCUCGUUUUACUUUACUUGGUUUGGUUAACAGCUUGUAUACCGCCGUCAUAAGGGUAUUUUUAUAAACAAUACCCAGAAUUUAAAAUUAAAAAAGAUGUCAGGUCAAGGUGCAGCUUAUAAUCAAGUGGUGGUGGGUUACAUUGUAUUUAUGCAAACGAAUUGAGAAUUGAAAUGAAUCAUGAAGGAGGAUUUGAUAGUAAUUAAAAAGAUAGUAUUAUAGUGAUAUCGGCUCUAAAACAUGCACACAUCGCCCGUCGCUCUCGUUUAUUAAGGCGAG